ACGGGUGAGUAACACGUUGGAACCUGCCCCAAAGUGAGGAAUAAGCCACCGAAAGGUGGUCUAAUACUUCAUAAUAUCCAUCUCGUAUGGAUUAAAGCUUUAUGCGCUUUGGGAGGGGCCUGCGUAACAUUAGCUUGUUGGUGAGGUAAAAGCUCACCAAGGCUUCGAUGUUUAACUGGUUUGAGAGGAUGACCAGUCACACUGGGACUGAGAUACGGCCCAGACUCCUACGGGAGGCAGCAGUAAGGAAUCUUCCACAAUGGGGCAACCCUGAUGGAGCAAUACCGCGUGCAGGAUGAAGCGUUUCGGCGUGUAAACUGCUUUUAUCACCGAAGAUUAUGACUGUAGGUGAAGAAUAAGGACCGGCUAACUACGCG
rnacentral:rRNA from 1 species